AUGUGUGAUCAUACUAGCACCAAUGUCUCGGAUCUCAUCAGACCUCUGUAGUUAAACAUGUUUAGACGAUAAUAUUACUAUGACGAAAAGGAUGACCGCCCAAAAAGUAUGUGUUGCACCUC
rnacentral:rRNA from 1 species